AUUGAACGCUGGCGGCAGGCCUAACACAUGCAAGUCGAACGAGUGGCGGACGGGCGAGUAAUGUCUGGGAAACUGCCCGACGGAGGGGUCUAACUACUGGCAACGGUAGAUAAUACCGCAUACUAUCGGAUGUGCCCAGAUGGGAUGAGCUAGUAGGUGGGGUAAAGGAUCACCUAGGCGACGAUCCCUAACGGGUCUGAGAGGAUGACCAGCCACACUGGAACUGAGACAAGGUCCAGACUCCUACGGGAGGCAGCAGUGGGGAAUAUUGCACAAUGGGCGCAAGUCUGAUGCAGCCAUGCCGCGUGUGUGAAGAAGGCCUUCGGGUUGUAAAGUUCUUUUGGUGAGGAGGCGUUACUCGAAGAAGAAGCACCGGCUAACUCCGUGCCAGCAGCCGCGGUAAUAC
rnacentral:rRNA from 1 species